rnacentral:tRNA from 1 species
GUAGUUCAGUCGGUAGAGCAUGGUGCUUGCAAUACCAAAGGUUGUGCGUUCAAUUCCCACC